rnacentral:snRNA from 1 species
CAUCUCUUUCUCUUUUUCUUCU